AACAAACGCUGGCGGCGUGCCUAAUACAUGCAAGUCGAACGGGGAAAGUAGCAAUAUGAGUACUAGUGGCGCACGGGUGAGUAACGCGUGGAUAAUCUGCCUUGAAGAGGGGGAUAACUAGUCGAAAGAUUAGCUAAUACCGCAUAAGACCACAAGAACUGAGGUUCAAGGGGUCAAAGGUUUUUCGCUUCAAGAUGAGUCCGCGUAAGAUUAGCUAGUUGGUGAGGUAAUGGCUCACCAAGGCAACGAUCUUUAACUGGUCUGAGAGGAUGAUCAGUCACACUGGAACUGAGACACGGUCCAGACUCCUACGGGAGGCAGCAGUAGGGAAUAUUGCACAAUGGAGGAAACUCUGAUGCAGCGACGCCGCGUGAGUGAUGAAGGCCUUCGGGUAGUAAAGCUCUGUCGCAGGGGAAUAACACAAUGAAUGUACCCUGUAAGAAAGGAUCGGCUAACUUCGUG
rnacentral:rRNA from 1 species